rnacentral:rRNA from 1 species
AGAGUUUGAUCAUGGCUCAGAACGAACGCUGGCGGCAGGCUUCAUACAUGCAAGUCGAGCGGCAAGGCCCUUUCGGGGGCCCUAGAGCGGCGAACGGGUGAGUAACGGGUGGAUAAUCUGCCCUUCGGUGGGGGAUAACGGCUGGAAACGGCCGCUAAUACCGCAUUCGAUCAUUUGGGCUUUAGGCUCGAGUGAGGAAAGGCGCUGCAAGGCGUCGCCGGNAGGAUGANUCCGCCUCCCAUUAGCUAGUUGGCGGGAUAACAGCCCCCCAAGGCUUCGAUGGGUAGCCGAGCUGAGAGGUUGGCCGGCCACACUGGGACUGAGACACGGCCCAGACACCUACGGGUGGCAGCAGUCGGGAAU